CUACGGAACUCCUACGGGAGGCAGCAGUGGGGAAUAUUGGACAAUGGGCGAAAGCCUGAUCCAGCCAUGCCGCGUGUGUGAAGAAGGUCUUCGGAUUGUAAAGCACUUUAAGUUGGGAGGAAGGGCAGUAAGCUAAUACCUUGCUGUUUUGACGUUACCGACAGAAUAAGCACCGGCUAACUCUGUGCCAGCAGCCGCGGUAAUACAGAGGGUGCAAGCGUUAAUCGGAAUUACUGGGCGUAAAGCGCGCGUAGGUGGUUUGUUAAGUUGGAUGUGAAAGCCCCGGGCUCAACCUGGGAACUGCAUCCAAAACUGGCAAGCUAGAGUAUGGUAGAGGGUAGUGGAAUUUCCUGUGUAGCGGUGAAACGCGUAGAUAUAGGAAGGAACACCAGUGGCGAAGGCGACUACCUGGACUGAUACUGACACUGAGGUGCGAAAGCGUGGGGAGCAAACAGGAGUAGAUACCCUAGUAGUCCUCUUCGA
rnacentral:rRNA from 1 species